rnacentral:rRNA from 1 species
CCUACGGGUGGCUGCAGUGGGGAAUAUUGGGCAAUGGGCGCAAGCCUGACCCAGCAAUGCCGCGUGGGUGAAGAAGGUCUUCGGAUUGUAAAGCCCUUUCGGCGGGGACGAUGGUGACGGUACCCGCAGAAGAAGCCCCGGCCAACUUCGUGCCAGCAGCCGCGGUAAUACGAAGGGGGCUAGCGUUGCUCGGAAUCACUGGGCGUAAAGGGCGCGUAGGCGGCCCCGCCAGUCGGGCGUGAAAUCCCCGGGCUCAACCCGGGGGCUGCGCCCGA